GGUUGCAAACAAUUUAAAUUAAGGACAACUCAAGACUGGUUACUCACUGAAGCUAAUCAGGGCUGAGCCUGGCCAGUACCUGGAUGGGAGACAACAUGGGAAAUCUGGGCUGCUGUUG
rnacentral:rRNA from 1 species